rnacentral:rRNA from 1 species
GUUAUAUGGUCAAGUGACCAAGCGUGCACGGUGGAUGCCUUGGCAGUCAGAGGCGAUGAAGGACGUGGUAAUCUGCGAAAAGCUCGGGGGAGUUGAUAAACAAGCGUUAAUCCCGAGAUGUCCGAAUGGGGAAACCCACCCGCUUGCGGGUAUCGUAUGGUGAAUACAUAGCCAUACGAGGCGAACCCGGGGAACUGAAACAUCUAAGUACCCGGAGGAAAAGAAAUCAACCGAGAUUCCCUAAGUAGCGGCGAGCGAACGGGGAUUAGCCCUUAAGUUAGAUUGGUGUUAGUAGAAGGCUCUGGAAAGUGCCGCCGUAGAGAGUGAAAGCCUCGUAUACGAAAAUGCCCUUUUAAUGAAAUCGAGUAGGACGGGACACGUGGUAUCCUGUCUGAAUAUGGGGGGACCAUCCUCCAAGGCUAAAUACUCCUGACUGACCGAUAGUGAACCAGUACCGUGAGGGAAAGGCGAAAAGAACCCCUGUGAGGGGAGUGAAAUAGAUCCUGAAACCGUGUACGUACAAGCAGUGGGAGCGGACUUGUUCCGUGACUGCGUACCUUUUGUAUAAUGGGUCAACGACUUAUUUUCAGUAGCAAGGUUAAUCGCAUAGAGGAGCCGUAGGGAAACCGAGUCUUAAUAGGGCGUAUAGUUGCUGGGAAUAGACCCGAAACCGGGCGAUCUAUCCAUGGGCAGGUUGAAGGUUGGGUAACACUAACUGGAGGACCGAACCCACGUAUGUUGAAAAAUGCGGGGAUGACUUGUGGAUAGGAGUGAAAGGCUAAUCAAGCUCGGAGAUAGCUGGUUCUCCUCGAAAGCUAUUUAGGUAGCGCCUCGUAUCUCACCAUUGGGGGUAGAGCACUGUUUGGGCUAGGGGGUCAUCCCGACUUACCAACCCCAUGCAAACUCCGAAUACCAAUGAGUGCAAUUACGGGAGACACACGGCGGGUGCUAACGUCCGUCGUGGAAAGGGAAACAACCCAGACCGUCAGCUAAGGUCCCAAAGUUACAGUUAAGUGGGAAACGAUGUGGGAAGGCUUAGACAGCUAGGAGGUUGGCUUAGAAGCAGCCAUCCUUUAAAGAAAGCGUAAUAGCUCACUAGUCGAGUCGGCCUGCGCGGAAGAUAUAACGGGGCUAAACUGUACACCGAAGCUACGGAUGC